GCGAGCCACCGGGCCGGGGACGCGCGUGCGCGCGGGCGCGCGCGAGGCUCCCCUUUCCCGGUACCGACAGCGACGGGCAUUUUCUUUGUUUCGUGAGGUUGAGAGAGAGGCCCUCUCACAGCCCCGGGCUGUGCUGCCGUCGUGGGCUCCUCCUGGGACCCGGUAAGAAAGGAGGCCGCGGCUGUUUAAAAAAAACCGGGUGAUUUUCCUGCCCUACCUCGGAGGUGACGGCUUUAUUUUAGGGCACAAGUUAUAUUUUGCGUACUUCAGAGGUGAGAAGAGAAGAAAGAUGAGGUAACUGAGGCACAGAGAAGUUAAG